rnacentral:rRNA from 1 species
UACAUGGGGUGCAAACGUUGCUCGGAAUCAUUGGGCGUAAAGCGCGCGUAGGCGGCCAACUAAGUCAGACGUGAAAUCCCUCGGCUUAACCGGGGAACUGCGUCUGAUACUGGAUGGCUAGAGGUUGGGAGAGGGAUGCGGAAUUCCAGGUGUAGCGGUGAAAUGCGUAGAUAUCUGGAGGAACACCGGUGGCGAAGGCGGCAUCCUGGACCAAUUCUGACGCUGAGGAGCGAAAGCCAGGGGAGCAACGGG